rnacentral:rRNA from 1 species
GUGAACGCUGGCGGUAGGCCUAACACAUGCAAGUCGAACGGCAGCACAGUAAGAGCUUGCUCUUACGGGUGGCGAGUGGCGGACGGGUGAGGAAUACAUCGGAAUCUACUUUUUCGUGGGGGAUAACGUAGGGAAACUUACGCUAAUACCCCAUACGACCUACGGGUGAAAGCAGGGGAUCUUCGGACCUUGCGCGAUUGAAUGAGCCGAUGUCGGAUUAGCUAGUUGGCGGGGUAAAGGCCCACCAAGGCGACGAUCCGUAGCUGGUCUGAGAGGAUGAUCAGCCACACUGGAACUGAGACACGGUCCAGACUCCUACGGGAGGCAGCAGUGGGGAAUAUUGGACAAUGGGCGCAAGCCUGAUCCAGCCAUACCGCGUGGGUGAAGAAGGCCUUCGGGUUGUAAAGCCCUUUUGUUGGGAAAGAAAAGCAGCAGGUUAAUACCCCGCUGUUCUGACGGUACCCAAAGAAUAAGCACCGGCUAACUUCGUG